AGUGAACGCUGGCGGUAGGCCUAACACAUGCAAGUCGAACGGCAGCACAGUAAGAGCUUGCUCUUACGGGUGGCGAGUGGCGGACGGGUGAGGAAUACAUCGGAAUCUACUUUUUCGUGGGGGAUAACGUAGGGAAACUUACGCUAAUACCGCAUACGACCUACGGGUGAAAGCAGGGGAUCUUCGGACCUUGCGCGAUUGAAUGAGCCGAUGUCGGAUUAGCUAGUUGGCGGGGUAAAGGCCCACCAAGGCGACGAUCCGUAGCUGGUCUGAGAGGAUGAUCAGCCACACUGGAACUGAGACACGGUCCAGACUCCUACGGGAGGCAGGAGUGGGGAAUAUUGGACAAUGGGCGCAAGCCUGAUCCAGCCAUACCGCGUGGGUGAAGAAGGCCGUCGGGUUGUAAAGCCCUUUUGUUGGGAAAGAAAAGCAGCAGGUUAAUACCCCGCUGUCCUGACGGGACCCAAAGAAUAAGCACCGGCUAACUUCGU
rnacentral:rRNA from 1 species